UACGUAGGGUGCGAGCGUUGUCCGGAAUUAUUGGGCGUAAAGAGCUCGUAGGCGGUGUGUCACGUCGGCCGUGAAAACCUGCAGCUUAACUGUGGGCGUGCGGUCGAUACGGGCAUCACUGGAGUUCGGCAGGGGAGACUGGAAUUCCUGGUGUAGCGGUGAAAUGCGCAGAUAUCAGGAGGGACACCGGUGGCGAAGGCGGGUCUCUGGGCCGAUACUGACGUUGAGGAGCGAAAGCGUGGGGAGCAAACAGG
rnacentral:rRNA from 1 species